GGAGCCAACUGGGGUGAUGUGCCCUAUCUUCCUGGUUUUAGUGAGAACGCGAGCAGCAGCGUUCUGGAUCAACUGCAGAUUGAUGUUUUUAGGCAGACCUGUGUGGGCACUGUUGCAGAAAACAUUAUGCCUAAGGAUAAACGCAUGGAUGAGUUUCUCUAGAUCUUGCUAGGACAUAACUCCUCCAAUCCUGGAAAUGUUCUUCAGGUGACAGAAGACUGACUUUAUAACCAUCUUUAUGUGUCUCUUUUUAAGUCAAAAGGUUCAAGAAGUAUGAAUACCUUUGCAAGGCAAUGUAACAAGUAGAAAGACUUGCCGUGGGCUAAAAUGGGAGUUCUUUUGUGUUCACAGGCACGAGGAAGAGCCACACUGUGGAACUCGAAUGCUUGGUAUGCACUUCCUUACGAGCAGGUGGAAUCAGGAAGACUGCUUGCAACAGAGUAAGGGUAUCCAGUAUCAGCACUCAUCUGCAAAAGACAUGUCUCAAGGUGAGUUUAUAUUCUCUGAUUUCUAAUUUAAUUUAGAAACAAAACGCGUAAUUUAGCCUUCUUAAAAUGUGGCUACUUGGUGUAGGCACUUCCACUAGCUGACAAGUGCUUUGUUCGACAGACGGGUUAACCAACACAAAACAUGCCAUGGCAGUCAAUGGCGUGGUGGAGGAAUGGGAGUCCUUGAAAUCUUUGCUCCAGAACAGCUCGGGAGAUAAAUGUUUCCAGUCUACCUUUAGCUCUCCAGGAUCCAAACAAGUCUGUGACUUUGGCGAUGGAUUCGCUUUCGAUCAGCUUGAACUAUAAGGAUUUCAAAGAAGACAUGCCAGAUGAGGCCAUUGGUCAGACCAUUGAUGGCUGCUUCAAGUCUUGCGAAGGUGGAAUCGCGCUUUCUUACUGUUGAUCCAAGGCGGCUAUUACACGAAAAAGGAGAGAAGGAUGGUUGAGAUCCUGCAGUCGCACUUCGGAGCAGAGGCUUUGAGAUUCCUGGUCAUUCUCUCUGUGGAAGACGGGAAAGUCUUCUCUUUGAGAAAUCAAAGAGACGGUGUGUGGAGGACUCGGCCAUGAACACGCUAAAGCAGAAGGCGCAAGAGGCGGAGGAGAAAGAACAGGUUUUUAUGGAGAAGGUGAGAAAAGAGGAGGAGAGAAGAACCAAGGAAAUGGAGGACCUGAAGAUAAGACAUGCAGAGGAAAGAAGGAAGGAGGCAGAGGGAAAAAAACCCCAACAUGAAACGGACAGUGAGAAUAUUUAGGAGGCAGUGAUGAGCCACAGCUCCAUGCUGCAACUGCAGGCAAAACCGCCUGAUGAGUGAACAACGACGAAUCAAUCGGUUAAAGACCUCCGAAGUGGCAGGCGGCCACGAGGUAAGCUUUUUGUCAAAGCACGUGUCACCUGUCUGUUUGGAAAUGCAUCCAUGUCUAAAGCUUUGUCUCUUAUCUCUGUAGUUUUCACGGCAUUCCAUAAAGAGCCCGUCUAAAGAAAGCCGUGCCAGUGUUGUCACUUUGGAGCUACAAAGUGAGCUAUUAUUGUUACAGGUACAUUUUCCAAGCUACAGAAGAGGAGUUACGAGGGAUGCAGUCAUUUGAAAGUUUGAGCUGAUAUCAAUAUUAACACUGCUGUUCUGGCAGUAUUUAUCGAUAUCAUGUUCAUCAUAUGUAUUUCCUUACACUUUUGACGCUGUGAAAAAGUGAUCUCACCGCCUACAUUGCUGCUCUGCUUCAGUUAAACACCCCAUCUCUAUCACUAGCUGCAAUUCCAAUACAAAUGUGCAAAAAACUCGUCAAUGUUCUGCUAAAAUUGAAAAAACAAACAAAAAUGUAAUUAAUGGUGUUUCCAUUGUUUAAGAAACACAGAUAAAAUCACACGUGAACGUGUUAGUUAGCAUACAUCAUUUUUAUAACAACUGAAGGUAACAGUUACUUGAUCGUGCUAUAAAAUGGCGCUGUGUGGCUGGAGAACACAUGUCAAUUAAUUGAGUUUAUUUGUACAGCACAUUUCAGCAACAAGGCAGUUCAAAGUGCUUUACAUCAUAAAGAAAGGAAUCUCUAAGUGAGGAAAGGUCACCAAAAUCAACUUUAAAUAGUUUUUUUUUUUUUUUUUAAUGUAAGCUACCUGUAAUGACAGAAGAAAAGUGGAAACAUGUAAUGGUGGUGGUUUGUUUGGUUUGUCUAAGUAACAGAACUCACAUUAUUGGUGUGCAUGUCUACACAGCCAAGAAGGGAGGGAAUGACAAAGUACAUCUGCUCCUCAUUUAUGUCUGCUUUACUUGGAAGGUUUUUUUUUUUUUUCUGCUUUCUCUCAAGUCUCUGAGAUUGUGUUGUUGAUAUCUGGGUUGCUUAAGAAAUAUAAUUCUUGCCUAAGAGGCAUUCCUCAAAAACAUCUGCAGAAAAAAAAAAGAGUUAUAUGGUAUGACUUUUUAUUGCCUUUUUGAUCUUUUUUUUUCUUAAUCCACUGUACAGAAAGCAAUAAAAACGUAUCAUUCUGAAUGUAAAUGUUUUGGUGUUUUCCUCCAUAACUGCAAACUCACGAUACUCUAUUUCUGUGGCUUAGGGAAUCUUUCAUGUUCAUCGACUCAUUUUAUGUGUUUCUUCUCUUCACUGGGUUUAACACGCAGUACUUUGCAAAAAAAAAUCAAAUUCAUAUUCUUUGAGGUUUUUAAUAUUUUGCACUGUAAAGAAAAGAUUUUAGAUUUUUUUUUUUUUGGUGUCUAUCAACUUUGACUAGGGCAUGCCAGUCUGAAGUCUCUUGCUGUCCCUGACAGGUUUUCUUUUACUUUGUUCUACCCAAAGAAGUGAUUCAUCCUUAAAAAAUAGAAGUCCGUCCUCAAAGCAUCAUGUUACCAGCAGAGCGAUUUGAACGUUAUUUAAAAUUUCACCUCUGUUUUCAUCUGUAUGCGAAAGAAAGCUGAAUGGACAUGCAUAUGUUUGGAACAAACAUGAAACGGUGACAAAACUUUAUUCUUUGUUU